UACGAAGGUCCCGAGCGUUGUUCGGAAUCACUGGGCGUAAAGGGAGCGUAGGCGGCGUGGUAAGUCAGAUGUGAAAUCCCGGGGCUCAACCCCGGAACUGCAUCCGAUACUGCCGUGCUUGAGGGUUGGAGAGGUAGCUGGAAUUAUCGGUGUAGCAGUGAAAUGCGUGGAUAUCGAUAGGAACACUCGUGGCGAAGGCGAGCUACUGGACAACAUCUGACGCUGAGGCUCAAAGGCCAGGGGAGCAAAAGGG
rnacentral:rRNA from 1 species